rnacentral:rRNA from 1 species
AGUGAACGCUGGCGGUAGGCCUAACACAUGCAAGUCGAACGGCAGCACAGUAAGAGCUUGCUCUUACGGGUGGCGAGUGGCGGACGGGUGAGGAAUACAUCGGAAUCUACUUUUUCGUGGGGGAUAACGUAGGGAAACUUACGCUAAUACCGCAUACGACCUACGGUUGAAAGCAGGGGAUCUUCGGACCUUGCGCGAUUGAAUGAGCCGAUGUCGGAUUAGCUAGUUGGCGGGGUAAAGGCCCACCAAGGCGACGAUCCGUAGCUGGUCUGAGAGGAUGAUCAGCCACACUGGAACUGAGACACGGUCCAGACUCCUACGGGAGGCAGCAGUGGGGAAUAUUGGACAAUGGGCGCAAGCCUGAUCCAGCCAUACCGCGUGGGUGAAGAAGGCCUUCGGGUUGUAAAGCCCUUUUGUUGGGAAAGAAAAGCAGCAGGUUAAUAACCCGCUGUUCUGACGGUACCCAAAGAAUAAGCACCGGCUAACUUCGUG